rnacentral:rRNA from 1 species
UGCCGAUAACUCGGGGAGUAGCCUUUCGAAAGAAAGAUUAAUACCCGAUGGCAUAAUAGAACCGCAUGGUUUGAUUAUUAAAGAAUUUCGGUUAUCGAUGGGGAUGCGUUCCAUUAGGCAGUUGGUGGGGUAACGGCCCACCAAACCUUCGAUGGAUAGGGGUUCUGAGAGGAAGGUCCCCCACAUUGGAACUGAGACACGGUCCAAACUCCUACGGGAGGCAGCAUG